rnacentral:misc_RNA from 1 species
CGACCAUACUCAGCAAUAGAUAAAAGCCCACCAGCAUUCUCGUCAUACAUGUAAACAGUUAUUGGCAUCUUCAGAACAUGUGAAGCCAUGAACAACUCAGGCUCACCCCCCCAUAUCCUCAUAUGUGCCACAUAGGUGUCAAAAUCACCUUCCACAAACCAUUCUGUCUCUUGCCUCCUCUUGAUAAACUCAUCAGCAACUCUAGCCCGCAAGUCAUCACUCUGAAGACCUUCACUUGGAGCUGGUUUUCCAGCACGUAAAUAAGCCCCAUGAGCCACAGAGCGGAACAAACACCUUCCAUCUCCUGGUAUUCCAGUAAUGGAAUAGUCAGUAUAGACUUUCUUCCCAUGCGACAAU